GUUCAGCUGACGAGUCCCAAGUAGGACGAAACGCGCGUCCUGGAU
rnacentral:hammerhead_ribozyme from 1 species